GCAAUAUUUAUUGAUAAUGUUCUUAAUCUAUUAUUAUCUACUAAAAAAAUAAAAAAAAAUCUUAAUUUUCUGAAGUCAGUUGAGUGACUGAGUUUGAAAAACAGUAGGUUUUCCACUUAAUUCCUCAAUUGGAAGGGCUCCUCAGUCCCCACCAGCAAGGUCACGGGAUUGUCCUAUUUAGAGCAUUACUGCUUCUUGUUAUCUUGUUAUCCUUAAUUAUUAGCCAACAAAGAGCAAGAAGCUUUCC
rnacentral:lncRNA from 1 species